rnacentral:misc_RNA from 1 species
UGUGGGCGCUGGCUUGCCUGCGAUGCAGACAACUCGGUAUUCCAGAUAGACCGAGUUGAUGCUAUCGCAGGCAAGCCAGCUCCCACA